rnacentral:rRNA from 1 species
GUCCUGCCAGUAGUCAUAUGCUUGUCUCAAAGACUAAGCCAUGCAUGUCUAAGUACAGGCCUACCUAAGGCGAAACCGCAAAUGGCUCAUUAAAUCAGUCUUAAAUCCAUUGGGUUUUGACCAAAACUGACUCGGAUAACCGUGGCAAUUCUAGAGCUAAUACGUGCAAUUAAGUUCCGACCUCGUCGCUACAAAAGUGUAGAGGAAGGGGCGCAUUUAUUAGAAUCAUAAACCGAGCGAGCUUCGGCUCGACUCAUUGAGUUUUUGAUGACUCUGGAUAACUAAGCCGAGCGCUGAGGCCUUCGAGCCGGCGCCGUACCCACCGAGUGUCUGCCUUAUCAGCUUUAGACUGUAGGCUAUUCGCCUACAUUGGCUGUCACGGGUGACGGGGAAUCAGGGUUCGAUUCCGGAGAGGGAGCCUGAGAAACGGCUACCACAUCUAAGGAAGGCAGCAGGCACGCAAAUUACCCCAUCCCAGUUUGGGGAGGUAGUGACGAUAAAUAACGAUGCGUGACCGUUCCGAGGCCUCGCAAUCGGAAUGAGUCCAAUCUAAACAUGUGGACGAUAAGCCAUUGGAGGGCAAGUCUGGUGCCAGCAGCCGCGGUAAUUCCAGCUCCAAUAGUUUAUACUAAAAUUGCUGCGGUUAAAAAGCUCGUAGCUUAAAUUUAGUAUAAUUACAAGACCUACCCGAGGCAUACCCCUCGGCUGUCGCGCUAACCGUCCAAUCCUUAUCUCUUGUCCCCUUCGCGGAACGGGUGUCGGCGUGUCGUGCGUGACCUGUUUUUAGUAGGGCUUACGAACCACCGCGCUACGAAAGGACCGGAGAGGUUAGGGGGUCGCGUUCGGACGUUGCAAUUACGAUUCUCGUUCUUCUUACGUGCCCCCGCCCUCCGUUCCCCCUUUCUAGCCGGCGUAACGCUCCUUCUUUUAACGUUAAAGGGUCUCCUACUCGGCGCUAAAAUCGUCUCACUCGUCACCAAGUUGUGGCUUUUGUAUGCGUUUGGAAUAAACGGGGAGCGGCACCGAGGAAGUAUUGUCCUCGCGGCGUUAGGGUCUUGUGAUGACUCUAAGUCGUCGGUUCUCACGGUGUACUCUUUACCGAGUGUCCCCGCGUGGCCGACAUAUUCACUUUGAAAAAAUUGGAGUGCUCAAAGCAGGCAAAAUUUAAAGCUUGUAUCUGAAUGCAUUGCAUGAUGCAAAAGGACCUUGGUUAAUUUUUCUCGGUUCUCUAACUCGAGGUAAUGAUUAAGAGGAACGGAAGGAGGCAUUAGUACUGCGGCGCGAGAGGUGAAAUUCAAAGACCGUCGCAAGACUACCUACUGCGAAAGCAUUUGCCUAUUACGUUUCCUUUAGUCAAGAACGAAAGUUAGAUUAUCGAAGGCGAUUAGAUACCGCCCUAGUUCUUACCUUAAACAAUGCCAACUGUCAAUCCGCUCAAGUCAAUCCCACGACUGAGCGGGGAGUCCCCGGGAAACCAAAGUUUUUUGGUUCCGGGGGAAGUAUGGUUGCAAAGCUGAAACUUAAAGGAAUUGACGGAAGGGCACCACCAGGAGUGGAGCCUGCGGCUUAAUUUGACUAACACGGGGUAAACUCACCAGGCCCAGACACUGGAAGGAUUGACAGAUUGAGAGCUCUUUCUCGAUUCGGUGGGAGGUGGUGCAUGGCCGUUCUUAGUUGGUGGAGUGAUUUGUCUGGUUGAUUCCGAUAACGAACGAGAUUCUUACCUAUUAAAUAGUCGUUGGAUCGUAUCCCGAGAAACGUCCCGUUCGGGGGGUUUCGGCGUUAGUUGGCGCCAAUCCGGCUUUCCCUCGGCCUACCCUCUUAGCGCGAGGUGCGUUUGGCAUCCCCUGCCGUCUUUCCCGUUCUUCGGGGGGGCGCGUAGGAGCUCUGCCAUUUCGUUCGGCGUGUCUAGGGGCGGUUCAAGGGUCGAGUGCGUUUGUCCGCGAGGAAACGUCGGCUGCGUCGUUGUAUUCCCCCGUUCAGGGCAAUUCGAGGGGCGUCCAUCGUCGUAUCUUCUUAGAGGUACCGGCAACACUAUAGUUGCACGAGAAAGAGCAAUAACAGGUCUGUGAUGCCCUUAGAUGUUCUGGGCCGCACGCGCGCUACAAUGCAGGGCGCAGCGUGCUUCCCCCCUCCGAAAGGAGAGGGUAACCAUUGGAAACCCCUUCCCGAUAGGGAUUGGGGAUUGUAAGUGUUUCCCAUGAACGAGGAAUUCCUAGUAAGCGUAAGUCAUUGAGCUUGCGAUGAUUACGUCCCUGCCCUUUGUACACACCGCCCGUCGCUACUACCGAUGAAUGAUUAAGUGAGGUCGUCGGACCUGCGCCCUAGGUAUCUAUACGGCUUAGUACGUUAGUACCCCCGGGCGGCAGGGAAGUCUCCAAAU